UCUGGGAAACUUUUUAUCUCUCCUUCUAUUUUGAAUGACAGCCUUGCCAGAUAAAGAAUUCUUGGCUGCACAUUUUUCCGAUUCAGCACAUUGAAUAUAUCCUGCCACUCCUUUCUGGCCUGCCAAGUUUCUGUGGAUAGGUCUGCUGCAAACCUGAUCUGUCUUCCCUUGUAGGUUAGGGACUUUUUUCCCUAGCUGCUUUCAUGAUUCUUUCCUUGCCUUAGUAUUUUGUGAAUUUGACUAUGAUAUGCCUUGUUGAUGGUCAGUUUUUGUUGAAUCUAAUGGGAGUCCUCUGUGUUUCCUGGAUUUUGAUGUCUGUGUCUUUCCCCAGGUUAGGAAAGUUUUCCGCUAUGAUUUGCUCACAUAACCCUUCUACCCCUUUUUCUCUCUCUUCCUCUUCUGGGACCCCUGUGGUUCUGAUGGUGUUUGUUUUUAGUGAGUCACUGAUUUCUCUGAUUCUUAAAUCGUGCUCUUUUGCCUUAAUCUCCCUCUUUUUUUCUGCUUCAUUAUUCUCUAUAAGUUUGUCCUCUAUAUAGUUGAUUCUCUGUUCUGCCUCAUCCAUCCUUGCUGCCGCUGCAUCCAUUCGUGAUUGCAUCUCAGUUAUAGCAUUUUUAAUUUCAUUCUAUUUUUUAUUUCUUUUAUCUCUGCAGAAAGGGAUUUAAUCUAUUUUCAUCUCCAACUAGUAUUCUUAUUAUCGUGAUUCUAAAUUCUGGUUCAGACAUCUUGCUAGUAUCUGUGUUGGUUAAAUCCUUGGCUUUCAUUUCUUUGUGCUCUUUCUUUUGGGGUGAAUUCCUUCGUUUUGUCAUUUUGAAGGGAGAAAAAGUAUUAAUGAGGUAGAAAAAUUGAAAUUAAAAAAAUUAAAAUUAAAAAAUAUGAAAAUUACAAAUUAAAUAUUAAAAACACACACACACACAAAAAUGGAAUAUAUGAUGCUAGAUCUGAGGUAUGUUUUGGUCUGGGUGUUGAAAGUGGUUUGACAGAUUAGAGAAAUGAAAAAAAAGGGGGGGAGGAGAAAAAAAAAGACAUUGUUUGAGAUUUUGUUUGAGAUUUUGAUAAAAUGAAUACACUAAAGUAGACUAAAAUGAGAUGAUAUGGGUAAAGUAGAAUUUGAAAAAAUAUACAGAAAGGUAGACAAUAUAGUAUAAGAAAUUAAAGUAUUUUUAAUAAAAAUUAUAAAGAAAUAUGAAUUUUUUCAUUUUCUGUAUUUAACAAAAAAGAGAAAUGAAAAGAAAAAAAAGGUAAAAAAAAGAACAAAAGAAAAGAAAGAAAUCUUCUGAAAAUUUGAAAAAGUGAAUACACUGUAGUAGACUGAAAUAAAAUGAUGGGAGUAAGAUAGGAUUUGAAAAAAUUAACAUAAAAGGAAAAAAUAUAGUGCUAAAAAUUAAAUAAAAUAUUUUUUAAAGAAAUUGAAAGUAAAAAUGAAGUUUUUCUCUUUCUGCAUUCAAGAAAAAAAGAAAUUAAAAAGAAAAAAUGAAAAAGAAAGAAAGGAAAUUUUUGAAAAUUUGAAAAGGUGAAUACACUGAAGUAGACUAAAAUGAAAUGAUGGAAGUAAAGUAGAAUUUGAAAAAAUUUACACAAAAGUAAAAAAUAUAGUAAUAAAAAUUAAAGACAGUAAUAAAAAUUAAAGUAAUAAAAAUUAAAAUACAAUAUUUUUAAUAAAAAUGAAAAUAAAAAUGAAUUUUUCUCUCACUGUAUUCAAGAAAAAAGAAAAGAAUUGUAAAAGAGAAAAAGGAAAAAGAGAAAAAAAUUGAAUAGAUGAACCUGCCAACAAAUUGAAGUAGGACUAAAAUUGCUUCGUUUUCCCCUAGAGGUCAGUCCAUGUAGUUCUUUGUAGUCCAUAACUUAAGCCAGCGUGGAGAUUUGUGUUCUUGAAGAGCGAAGUUGGCCCGGUUGGGCAGAGCUUGGUGUAACAGCUCCACUCUCCACUAGAUGGCGCUGUUAGCCUACUGGGGUGGAUCGUUGCAGAGCUUGUAGGUGCAUAUGCGCAUGCGCAGGAGUGGUGAAAAUGGCUCCACCCAGCCACCAGUCUGUUCUCCCGGAUCAGCAGUCACGCACCCAUCCUUCCUCUUCAGCUCUCAUCCAGUCCCUGCUUUUCCACUCUCUGUGACCAGGCCCCAGGCAGUACCUCUCCCCCAAGUUUUGUCUCAGAUGUGGCUGUUUUCCUUGGCCCCUUACUUCUGAAGGACUGUGGCUUUGAUCCAUUCCACCCCUCUGUGGGAGGGUCUCACUGAGCAAUGGCUGAAUGAGCAAUGGCUGAAUGUUGGUUGCACCCAGGAAUGCCCGCUGGACCCUGCUGCUGCCGGUGCCCUAAGAUUGCAGCCAGGUGCCAGCCCACCCCCAAAAAAGAUCGUGAGACAGUGUAGCAUCAGUGUUUCAGGGAUUAUGGAAAACUGCAACACACAUCUGGCACCAGGCUUCACCCUUAAUGACCUUGCCCCAGCACCAGCGAACGUGGCUGCCUUCUGGGGUCUGCUGGGACCAGGUGGCUUCAACAGCCUCUACCAAAUGUCCUUCCAGCAGUGGAACUGCUUUUCCCUGUGUGGUCAGAGAACCUCCCGGCCUCCACUCUGUUCCUGGGGAUUCACCUUUUACACCAGAGCACCACCAGACAAUUUGGGCAUGUGAGACCGUCUACCCUAUGAGAUCAUGAUCUACAUGGAGGCAAGGCCUAUGUCUUGGUGACUGUCAUAGUUCCUGAAAGAUAGGUUUUCCAACAGAAAGGCAGAGCAUGGAGGCCUCACCAUUAAAAGAAGAACCAGGAAUCCUGUGGUCUUCAUGUAAUAAAAAAGCUUGAAGAUUUUUUCUAGAUAUGUCUCCUAUAGCAAGGGAAAUAAAAGCAAAAAUAAACUAUUGGGACUACAUCAAAAUAUAAAGCUUCUGCACAGCAAAGGAAACAAUCAACAAAACAAAAAGACAACCUACUGAAUAAGAGAAGGGGUUAGUAUCCAAAAUACAUAGAUAACUCAUACAAUUCUACACCCAAAAACCAAAUAACCCAAUUAAAUAACGGGCAGAAGACAUGAGUAGACAUUUCUCCAAAAAAGACAUACAGAUGGCCAACAGACACAUGAAAAAAUUCAAUAUCACUCAUCAUCAAGGAAAUGCAAAUCAAAACCAUCUCAUAUCAAUGAGAUAUCAGUUCACACCUGUCAGAAUAGCUAAAAUAAAAAACAUAAUAAAUAAGUUUGGUGAGGAUGUGGAGAAAAAGAACCCUGUGUGCUGUUGGUGGAGAUGCAAACUGCCAGAAAACUGUAGAAAACAAUACAGAGGUUCCUCAAAAAAUUAAUAAUAGAAUUACCAUAUGAUUCAAUAAUUCUGUUAUUGGGUAUUUACCCAAAGAAUACACAAGGGGCAGAGAGAGAAAAUCCCAAGCAGGCUCCAUGCUAUCAGCAGUGCAGAGACCCAUGCAGGGCUUGAUGUCACCAACCAUGAGAUCAUGAUGUGAGCCAAAAUCAAGAGUCAGGCCCUUAAGUGACAGAGCCACCCAAGUGCCCCAGCAUAUUUGUUUUUAAAAUAAAAUAUACAAGUAUGCAUUUAAAUAUUUUUAUAAAAAUCAAUAGCUUGUUCUUAAUCUACUGCUAUAAUAAAAUACUAUUUUAUAUAAAAAUCAGAAAAAAGUUCUCCACAUAUUUUCUAAAUAUAUCCUAAUCAUGCUUCUACCCUCUCUAUCUUGGCCUAACUCCCACUGGAAUAUAAGCCUCUCCACCACGAUAAUGUGAGUCCUCCCCCUCCUGCCAAAAUAUAAACUUCAUCAGAGUAGGAACUCCUUUUUGUUUACUGCUAUAUCCCUAGCUCCAGGAACACUGCAUGAUAAAUGGUAGUCACUCAACAAAUAUUGCUGAAUAAGUGAGUGUACAUCUGCAUGCAUCUUCAUCCAAAGACAGUAAUAUGACUGCAAUCGAAUGGAAGCAAAAAUAAUGCAUAUAUUACGUAAGUUUUAUUACAGUAUUGAUAAUUUUUAUUAUCAAUUUUUAUUAAGGGUUUAUUAAUAUGCUAGGUACUAGGCUAAGUACUUGGUAUGUAAAAAUACUCCAUAAAUGCUAUUAUUAAUUUUAUUUUUUUUAAACCUGGAGGAAAAUGGGGCACCUGGGUGGCUCAGUUGGUUAAGCAUCCGACUCUUGAUUUCAUGAUCAUGAGAACUCAUGAUAUCACAUUUCAUGAGUUCAAGCCCCAUGUCAGGCUCCACACUGAGUGUAGAGCCUUCUUGGGAUCCCUUCUCUCUUGCCCCUCCCCCUGCUCGUGCUCUCUCUCUGUCUCUCUCUCAAAAUAAAUAAAUAAACUUAAAAAAAUUAAAAAUUAAAAAAAUAAAACCUAGAGGAAAAUGAAUUUGAGAGGUAAAUAUUAUUACAUACCUUUUUUAAUUUACCAAACCCCAGAACCA